AGUGAACGCUGGCGGUAGACCUAACACAUGCAAGUCGAACGGCAGCACAGUAAGAGCUUGCUCUUACGGGUGGCGAGUGGCGGACGGGUGAGGAAUACAUCGGAAUCUACUUUUUCGGGGGGGAUAACGUAGGGAAACUUACGCUAAUACCGCAUACGACCUACGGGUGAAAGCAGUGGAUCUUCGGACCUUGCGCGAUUGAAUGAGCCGAUGUCGGAUUAGCUAGUUGGCGGGGUAAAGGCCCACCAAGGCGACGAUCCGUAGCUGGUCUGAGAGGAUGAUCGGCCACACUGGAACUGAGCCACGGUCCAGACUCCUACGGGAGGCAGCAGUGGGGAAUAUUGGACAAUGGGCGCAAGCAUGAUCCAGCCAUACCGCGUGGGUGAAGAAGGCCUUCGGGUUGUAAAGCCCUUUUGUUGGGAAAGAAAAGCAGCAGGUUAAUACCCCGCUGUUCUGACGGUACCCAAAGAAUAAGCACCGGCUAACUUCGUG
rnacentral:rRNA from 1 species